rnacentral:tRNA from 1 species
AGUGAUUCUCCUGCCUCAGCCUCCGGAGUAGCUGGGAUUACAGCAAAGAUAUCCAGACGCUGUAUGCAGGAAGAACUGAAUUUCAGAGGACACCGUUUGAUCUUCAACACCUGGCAGUUUACAAAACAGCCUGAAGAGGAGAGGGGGAAUCCUGGUGAGAAGCAUUUGGAAUUCAAGCUCAGAGAAGAAGACACGGAGUCCCAGCUGAGAACUCAAACUGGUAGAAGGAAGAUUAUUUUUCCUUCUCUAUAGGUGCUUGGAGGUAACGAGGGGAAAGGAGUUGAAAGGAAGGUGACAUUUCAGCUAAUCUGCUUCGCGCUACUUUUUUGAGGUGGGCACCUGGGAUGGAGGCAAGGAAUCACGAAGUGGCGUCUCCUCGGAAGGGGCAGCCUGAUGUCUUUAACCACUGAACUGUGGUUUCCAACUGGAUGCGCUUUGGGUUCAGGGCUAAGACACGCGUAGGCGGUGCAGACAGUUCAAUUCGUGGGCGGCUUUUUCUCUCCCCUGCGCGGUUUUGCAGAACUGAGGAUUCACGUUUGCCACGCAGUCUCUAAAUGUAAGGAGAACUUGCUUUAUUUAACGAAUGUGUAUUCAGCUGCCAAAGAACAAGCUAAUCACCCUUCCUCCCCACGCCCGACUUAGCCUCCUCCCAGCCCUCGCCGGAUUUCUGCAUCGGAAUUGGAUUGGAUCACACACAAAAGAAGAGCCCAGGAACUCGUUCACCACCUUGCACCUUGCCUGUUAGUUCACGGCAUAAUGGUAACAGAGUCUUCAUUAAUGGAAGCAACGUUACUACCGUGAGCCCGGAUAGCUCAGUCGGUAGAGCAUCAGACUUUUAAUCUGAGGGUCCAGGGUUCAAGUCCCUGUUCGGGCGGUAUCUUUUUUUUCCUCAUUAAAAGAGUAAGAACCAAUUUUAGGAUCUUUUGUUUGUUAACACACUGCAAAAGAAGGGAAUAAAGUCCUGGAUUGUGUAAACUGCGACCCCAAACACUUCUCGGAGGGUAAGCCCUCUAUGGGGAUAGGCCUUUGUGCAGAGGUAUACGGGAAACUUCUAAUCCAUCACUUUGGGGGCUGUAAUAGGCAGAUUAUUCUGUAGCCACCAGCCGGGCUGCUGUAUCCCAACAGCGGAUAUAUCAAAGGA